rnacentral:siRNA from 1 species
CGUGCACCAGAUACGUGGCGG